GAAGAGGAGUGGAAAUAGAAGAGAUGGAAAGGGGGAACCAAUAAUCUUUGAGUAAGUUAAAUGGGUAAUAAGAGGUGAAAAAAGUAAAUGGGAAGAAAAGAUGCUUCACAGUAUGAGAAAUUUGGCCUAGCAAAAUUUUGGGAUGAAAUUUCCGGUGGACUGAUGUGAAAUCAACGCGUCGCAUUGUUAGGCAUCAUGUCCACACUUAGAAAAUAUUUUAAUGGCUAGUUCCAGUGAAUUGACGCGAUACCGAUGCAUCAUGCCAGUACUACAAUGUGAUACAUGACGCAUCAGUUGUCAUCAGAUCACACUUAGCAUAAAAUUUUUAUGCUAAUUCUAGUGUCAUGACGUGAACUCAAUGCAUCACGUUGAUAGUUGACGCGUUAAUCGCCGCAUCACGUUGGUUUCCCAUUUUUGUGUAAAUUUAACCCUAGCUGGACCCCUCACUUCCACCUUUAUAUAUAUAUCCUUAAUUUCAUUCCACCUUCACCCUAACUCCAUCCGCAGCAGCCGCCCUAGAAUUCCCUCACCAUAAAAAUAAUUUCCCUCUUUUAUCAGUCUAGUGGUGUCAAGAAUCUCACUCCAUUCUUUUUUUCCUUCUUCAUCAAGUCAAAGGUACUAUGUCGAGCCAUCACCAAAGUAGUAAGGAAAAAAAAGAAUGUAUCUAGUUCAUCUCAAUACAGGAACAAAAAGAGUCGGCCAGCCGACCGUGUGACCUCGGCCCCACACAUUCCACGGGGUCAGCCUAAGAGGUUCGGGGCUAGGGCAGUAACUGCAGCAGGAAGAAAAUAGUACUCGCAGCACAAAGAGUCCAAGUAUUUUGCAGAUCAAUUCAUUAAAAGAGCCAGCUUGCUGAAAAAAUUAUCCGUCUAUGGUGCGAAAAAUAGAGGCACUACACAUGCAUUUCCUGUUUCAGCAACCUGCUGAAUACAACUUGAGCCUCGUACACUUGAUAUGGAUGCUGAUACCUUGAAGAAAUUCAUUAUUAAGCCACAAUACCAGCACCUCUGACACCUCUUAUGUGGCACCCGUUCAGCAGCUAGGUGGAUUCGCCACAAAGAAAGUGGUACUCACGUGUCUCUUUCGUUUGCUCACAUGAACUGGGAAGUGCAUUUAUGGGCUAAAAUUAUAUACGCCUGCCUUGUUCAUGACACUCAUUUGACGGAGGUAACUCGUGAUAGGGUUUGUCUCAUCUAUGCUCUGAUGUGGGACAAUAUUGAUUUGAAUGUUAAUGCUAUUAUUUUUUUUUGCAAUGAAAAAAGCCUAAUUUUUGGGGGCUCAUAGAUAUGGUUUCAGUGGGCUGCUGACUAGAUUUUUAAGUCUACAGGGUGUGCCUAAAGAGGAUGUUGACUAUAAACCACCGGCUAAUACCAAACCGUUGGAAUUCUCAUGUACUAAGGGACCGACUUCUCAUGGCACCACUUUAACCAUGCUUGAGUGCCAAGAUCGAAGCGAUGAGGUCCUAGCUCGACUGUUAGGUCUAUCUAUGUUACAGCUGAAAGUUGGGGGGCAUCCAACCACCCAAUAAGAGAUUUAUGUUGUUGAGCUGGACUACUCAUACCCCAUGCUAAGACUAUGUUGUGGGUUGGACCAGAUUUUGAUGAACCAGUGGAUGAUGACGUCCCCAUGGACGAAGAGCGGUGCAUGGAUUGUUCUAACGAUGAGUUAGUCGAGGAAGAGCAGUCUGACGAUGAUGACUUUGAUGCUGAUUUCGGUUAUGAUGCGGAUAUGGAUGCCCAGUGAGUUGGGAGCAAAUCCCCACCUCAUGCUUAUGAUUGUAUUGCAAGCACUGAGACAGUGCUUUCUCUAAAGUGUGGGGUUGGUGGAAGUCUUUGUCUCUUCUACUCUUUCUGUUUUAUUUCUGCUGGACAAAUUUUAAUUUUUGCUUUUGGGAUUUUAAUUUUUGGCAUUUGGAUGUUUAUGUUGUUGUUGUUGACUUAGUUUUUUGUGGUGGUUAUGUUCAAAUGAUUUCAUUUUAUUUUGCUGUUUUGACUUAGUUUCAUUUUGCUUUUGUUCUGGAGUAGUUGCUCUU